UGGGGAAUAUUGCACAAUGGGCGCAAGCCUGAUGCAGCCAUGCCGCGUGUGUGAAGAAGGCCUUCGGGUUGUAAAGCACUUUCAGCGGGGAGGAAGGCGUUAAGGUUAAUAACCUUGGCGAUUGACGUUACCCGCAGAAGAAGCACCGGCUAACUCCGUGCCAGCAGCCGCGGUAAUACGGAGGGUGCAAGCGUUAAUCGGAAUUACUGGGCGUAAAGCGCACGCAGGCGGUUGAUUGAGUCAGAUGUGAAAUCCCCGGGCUUAACCCGGGAGUUGCAUCUGAUACUGGUCAGCUAGAGUCUUGUAGAGGGGGGUAGAAUUCCAUGUGUAGCGGUGAAAUGCGUAGAGAUGUGGAGGAAUACCGGUGGCGAAGGCGGCCCCCUGGACAAAGACUGACGCUCAGGUGCGAAAGCGUGGGGAGCAAACAGG
rnacentral:rRNA from 1 species